CUUUAGUCUCUCUAACACUGUGGCAUGUUCCCUUUCUUCUACACUCACUACAUUCAGCUUUUCUCUGUCCCAGACUAUAUACCAGGAGAUCUGCCUGCUAGUAAGAAGGUAAGGAGACAAGUGGACCAGCGAGUGCUAGGGGACAGUCCUUAGAAAGCGUGGAGUAGGCGCAUCAUUUGAUGCAUUUAUAUCAAGCUUAGGGUGCUGUCUG